GUGGGGAAUAUUGGACAAUGGGCGCAAGCCUGAUCCAGCCAUGCCGCGUGAGUGAUGAGGGCCUUAGGGUUGUAAAGCUCUUUCAGUGGGGACGAUAAUGACGGUACCCACAGAAGAAGCCCCGGCUAACUUCGUGCCAGCAGCCGCGGUAAUACGAAGGGGGCUAGCGUUGUUCGGAUUUACUGGGCGUAAAGCGCACGUAGGCGGAUCGUUAAGUCGGGGGUGAAAUCCUGGAGCUCAACUCCAGAACUGCCUUCGAUACUGGCGAUCUUGAGUCCGGAAGAGGUGAGUGGAACUCCUAGUGUAGAGGUGGAAUUCGUAGAUAUUAGGAAGAACACCAGUGGCGAAGGCGGCUCACUGGUCCGGUACUGACGCUGAGGUGCGAAAGCGUGGGGAGCAAACAGGAUUAGAAACCCGAGUAGUCC
rnacentral:rRNA from 1 species